rnacentral:rRNA from 3 species
GGACUACUGGGGUAUCUAAUCCCGUUUGCUCCCCUAGCUUUCGCGCCUCAGCGUCAGUAGAGAUCCAGCCCGUCGCUUUCGCCACCGGCGUUCCUUCUGAUAUCAACGCAUUUCACCGCUCCACCAGAAGUUCCACAGGCCCCUAUCUCCCUCGAGACCACCAGUAUCCAAGGCAGUUUUCCGGUUGAGCCGAAAGAUUUCACCCCGGACUUGGUGGCCCGCCUACGCGCCCUUUAAGCCCAGUGAUUCCGAACAACGUUCGCACGGUUCGUCUUACCGCGGCGGCUGGCAC